CAGAGGGAGCAGCGAAGAACCUGCUUAGAAGUUGACCUUCUCCUGCUAAACCUUUGCCCCCUCCCAGCGUGGCCAUUGCUGCGGGAUGGGGGCAUUGCUGAGCACCCCCAGGGAACAGCCCGGCCCGGCAUCGCUCCGUCCCAUUGCUGUAGCGCUGAAUCAAAGCCCUCUUACAGAGUCAGGGCAGAAGCAGAAUCCGGGGCUGUUCUCAUCCUCAUCCUCUCACUGAUUUUCAAACAAGAAUAAACUCAGCUUUUCCUGUUCAAGCUGCUCUGCCACAGCAGAAAAGAUUUCAGCUUUCUGUCAACCUGAUGGCAAAACGAAGUCGUUCCCUUCCAGGUAACCGCCUCUGAUUGAGAACAUCCACUCACCAAAGGCUUUCGGUGCUCUGGUGGGGGAAGAAGAAGAGGAGAAAAACCCCAAACCCGUCCAUACACAGUGCCCCUGCAGCUGCCCCACACACCGUGACCCCAUAGCUGUGGGGUUCUGGUGCUGUCGGUGUGUCUGGCAGAGGUGUGCCUCCAUCCCGCUGCAUCCCACUGCAUCCCUCUGCAUCCCACAUCCCUCUGCAUCCCACAUCCCUCUGCCAGGCUCUGCAGCUCCUUCCAAACAAAGAGGGAUCUCUGGGCCGCCCUCCAUCCACCACCUCCCCUCGGUGGAAGCCUGCCCACGUCUUUUUGUGCAAAUCCUUCCCUCUCGGAUGCUAUUUGAUGUCUUCAAAGGGGCUAUUCUUAUGUGGAGAAAAGAGGGCGAGCUCAGGUCUGACAAGGCUCUUCGCUCGCAGCGCAGCUAUUUUUUCACUCGGAAGAGUGCCAGUUUGGGAUUUCAAGACAAAAAAAGAAAUAAAUAAAAUACAUAUAUUCUCUUUUUCACA
ensembl:lncRNA